CAGAAGCCCUCGAUCUGCCUGUGCGCUGUUGAACAGAAGGUCACAGGAUGCUGACCUCCCCUGAUCGUACAGAGGACGAACGCCCUCCCCCCAAAAUGAACAGUUCUUGGAUUUGGGGGAAGGUGCCAGCAACAGGAUGCCCAAGGAUACCGACUGCUUUUGAGAAAAGAAGACAAGUCACAGAGAGGCCUAGCUCUGUGCUUCCAUCCAUCGCACACUCCAUAUAGCUCUUGAUGUGGACGACUG